AGUCACUGACAUUAGAUACCCGCGUAGUCCAGGGUGUAGACGCUGCAGACUUGGUGUUGGAAGUCCUUUGGGGGGCAUUCAGUGCCGGAGAGAAGUUGUUAAGUCUGCUACUUGGGAGUACGUCCGCAAGGAUGAAACUUAAAGGAAUUGGCGGGGGAGCACCGCAACGGGAGGAGCGUGCGGUUUAAUUGGAUUCAACACCGUAAAACUCACCAGGGAAGACUGUUACAUGAAAGCCGAGAUGAAGACUCUGCUAGAUUUUCAG
rnacentral:rRNA from 1 species